GCCAUCUUAGCUCAGCUGGUAGAGCAGCUCAUUCGUAAUGAGCAGGUCAUCGGUUCAAGUCCGAUAGAUGGCUCCA
rnacentral:tRNA from 1 species